rnacentral:rRNA from 1 species
UACGGAGGGUGCAAGCGUUAAUCGGAAUUACUGGGCGUAAAGCGCACGCAGGUGGCUGAGUCAGUCGAUUGUGAAAGCCCUGGGCUUAACCUGGGAAUUGCAGUCGAUACUACUUAGCUAGAGUAUGGGAGAGGGCAGUGGAAUUCCCGGUGUAGCGGUGAAAUGCGUAGGUAUCUGGAGGAACACCGGUGGCGAAGGCGGCAUCCUGGACCAAUAUUGACGCUGAGGAGCGAAAGCUAGGGGAGCAAACGGG